UUUUUUUUUUUUUUUUCUUUUUUCUUUUAAUCCACUAUUUCCUCCGUUUUAAUAUUUUGUGAAGUGGCUUGUGCAUGAAAAUGAUGGCCUACUGGUUCAUGCUGGCUUUGAGGGUGCGGCAAUGAAGGAUGUGACAGGGGAAUUCAGUGAAAGU
rnacentral:ribozyme from 12 species